UAAUCUCACCCCUACAACUUUGCUGUUGAAGGAUGGUGGACUUGGACUGUGGCCGUCAAGGCCCGUCUUGAAUGCUUAGGCUAUGGGAUCUAUGCGCCAUCAGCGACGAAUUGUAGACAUCUUUUGUAUACCUUGUUGCGGCCGAAAUCUCUCUGUGCCUUCCAAAACCCUUGGGACUCUUCACCGUGUCUCUGGACUUUGACAAUUUGACCUCAAAUCGGGUGGGACUACCCGCUGAACUUAAGCAUAUCAAUAAGCGGAGGAAAAGAAACUAACAAGGAUUCCCCUAGUAACGGCGAGUGAAGAGGGAAAAGCUCAAAUUUUGAAUCUGGCGUCUUUGACUCCCGAGUUGUAAUCUAGAGAAGUGUUUUCCGCGUUGGACCGUGUACAAGUUCCCUGGAACGGGGCGUCAUAGAGGGUGAGAAUCCCGUAUAUGCCACGGACUACCUUCGCUCUGUGAUACACUCUCAACGAGUCGAGUUGUUUGGGAAUGCAGCUCAAAAUGGGUGGUAAAUUCCAUCUAAAGCUAAAUAUUGGCGAGAGACCGAUAGCGAACAAGUACCGUGAGGGAAAGAUGAAAAGCACUUUGGAAAGAGAGUGAAACAGUACGUGAAAUUGUUGAAAGGGAAGCGUUUGAAGUCAGUCGCGUCGUUUGGAAUUCAACCCGGCUUCUGCCCGGUGUACUUUCUGCUCGACGGGUCAGCAUCAAUUUCAACCGAGGGAGAAAGACGAGAGGAAUGUGGCUGUCUCGGCAGUGUUAUAGCCUCCCGUUGUAU
rnacentral:rRNA from 1 species